UUCUUCUUUUCCUGCUCUCAGCUCCCGAGGGCGCUGUGGCCAUCUGCUGGGGCGGGAAGGGCAGGUGCCCAGGGAGGCAGAGUCCGGAGCCAGCCAAGAGGAUUUAGUCUUCUGCCCCUGAGCUCCUGGACCGGGGACAGCUAGAGGGAGAGUCCACAUGGCCCUGCAGAAUGUGAUGGGGCGGCUGGGCAGGCACUCCUGGAACUGCCUGGAACUGCGGGGGGUGUGAAGAAGGAGGGGGUGGUCGCGGUGGCUGCCAAGGUGGCGAGAGGAGGACGGCUGUCCUGUGUUGCACAGGACAUGGAAGGUGAUUAAGAACUGUUCUUAUUGGUAACGGACAAGAAAAGUUCUGAAUUAUUGGAUUAUGCACGUGGAGGGGUCGCUCUACUCUCUCAGCCCUCCACGCCUGCGCCGGGGACCCGCCCAGCAGUGAGCCGCGGAGAACGUGGGCCAAGCCCUCGCAGAUGCAAGCAAUGUGGGCACAGCGGGAACAAGCUAUCAUGCAAAGAAAUGCAGAUGCUCGCAGCUGGAGUCAAAUCUGCUGUGCAGGACUGGGCCAGGGCAAAGGAGGUGAGCUGGGACACCAGCAGCACCUGCUACCUGGGGGAAGCCUAGAUUCCUGCCCUCAUGGAGCUUAUAGUCUAGUGAGAGAGAUAGAAAGGAAGAUCUGCAGUACCUAGCCAGAUAGGCAGGUGACCUAGCCUGAAGGCAGGUGACGGGGCAUCAGGGGUGCUGUGGUAGCUCAGGGAGUCCUCUCUUGGAGGAGAUGACAUUUCAGCUGACACCCGAAGGAAGUGUGAGACAGGCCAUCUGAAGGCUGGUUGAACGUGGAAUGGGAAAUAACCCUGGAAUCAGGGCUGUGGAAAGAGCAAGUGCUAAGACCCAGAAUGGGAAUAGCCUUGGCAGUAAGCAGGGGGAAUUGCAAGAAGUCCAGGGUAGCUUUGGAAGAGAGGAUGAGGCAGAGUAGGACAGAAUAGAGAUAAAGGCAGAAGUUGCGAACACCUUGUUGCUGGGCAUCUGGACCCAGCCCUGAGACAUCCAUUCAUUCCAUUUACUAGUUUGGGCACCAGUCUGGGUGCUGGACGUGCUCCGGUGAAUGCGUGUGACGGAGCCCUGCCCUCACAGAGCAUCCAUUCUGAUAGGGGGAUGAGUAAACAGCGUAAGUAUGUACUAGAGGCUAUUAAUAUGUAACUUGUAUUAGAAAAUGACUGAUGCUUCAGACUUGAGAAAAAUGAAGUAGACACAGGGAGUCCACGAGUGCGAGGAAGUGCUUAGAAAUUCCAAGUAGAGAGGUGAGGAUGGCUUCUAGAAGGGGCUGACAACACUCAGUACCUCUGAGCCUGGUGGGCUCCUGAAGACCCCUCCACACCCCCAGGACAUGUAUCCAAUGCAGCCCGGGAGGGAGGGCACGACUGGAUCUCCAGGAGAGAGAAAGAAGAGCAGGGACCCCAGAGUGGAGGGCUGGGGUGUGUUGGUCCAAGCUCAUAGCCUGGGAAAAAGAGGAGGAGCCAGGGUGGGGGCAGGGGAGGGAGGGGGGCUGGGUCUGC